rnacentral:rRNA from 1 species
UACAGAGGUGGCAAGCGUUGUUCGGAAUUACUGGGCGUAAAGGGCGCGUAGGCGGCCUUCUAAGUCAGACGUGAAAUCCCCCGGCUUAACCUGGGAACUGCGUCUGAUACUGGGAGGCUAGAGUGCGGGAGAGGGAUGCGGAAUUCCAGGUGUAGCGGUGAAAUGCGUAGAUAUCUGGAGGAACACCGGUGGCGAAGGCGGCAUCCUGGACCGACACUGACGCUGAGGGACGAAAGCUAGGGGAGCGAAUGGG